CUUCAUAAACAGCCCAAAAUGCAAGAAGAGAAUAAAAUACAUGUGUAUUACGAGUUACUGCAAACAUGAAAAUAGCUGGGAUUAUUUCUCUAUAAAUAUGUAAUUGCAAAUUCAGGGCUUAUUGAGUGAAAAUGUUUUCCUUUAAGAAAUUGCUUUCUAUGUUUGGGGGGGGACAACAAACAGGUAUAAUUUGAUGUGUAGACAUUUUAAGGUGAUUUUUAGAAAGGGUUUGAAAUGAUAUUUUACUUUCUGAUACAGACCUGAGUUUCCUCUUGCGUUUCUGUCGCGCAUGCUCUUUGCAUUUGGCAGUUGUGAAGAAAAGCAACCUUGGUCUGGGGUUUUCCGUUCUGAAGAACAGUUCUGCAUUUCACUAAAUGAGCUUUUCAGAUGGUGGGUAACCUGAGUCAGUGAAGGUUGCAGUGUGUGUUUCCACUAGAGCCUCUGUGACAGGCUAUUAGGCUGUAUUCUAAAGAGUAACUGAAUACUGGAAGUAUAGUUUACAAAAUGAAGUGGGGCAGUAGAGAAACACUCAUGGUCAGAAAGAUGCUUCAAGGUAUCAGUCUGGAGAUGGUUCCAUGAAGAUUUGGUCCUGUAAACUGCACUUUUUGUAUGUACUUCAGAGGAGGAAGCUGAGGAGACGAACUCAGUGGUUUGAUCAAAGCUUAAAUAAAGGAGUGUCUCAUGUAACCACAUCUAGUGAAGCUUGUUUUUGUUCAAAAGGAAGUAGCGAAGGGGAUAAGCAGCCACUCCCAUACUUAUCGCAGCUCGUUACCAUUACCAAAACCAAUAUAAUGAUGAUGUGAGAAAGCAGAGAUGAUUUUAUAAGCUUGUGUCACUUCUAUAGAAGGCUUUUGAAAGGUGGAAUGCGCUUCCUAGGACCUCUGUAUGCUUUAAAUACGACUGAGCGCAUGCAGGAAAAACUUCUUUUCUGCAGUAGCUGAUUUCUUGGCAAAGUAAAGGUAUUUGCAUACUGCAUCUUAAUUACACAAAUGCUUUAUAUUCAGUGAUCUGUUCUACUUAAUCUUUUCUCGCUCUGAAAUAGUAGUCUCAGUCCUCUGUUUGUAAUAUGUUUGCCAAAGCAGGCAGUGAUAUAACGCUUUUUUGUUAGCGCAGGAAUGGUUCAUAACUCACAAGAAGGCAGAUCCCUGAGUGAGUCAUUUAGGUCAUUCCCACUUGUGUGGAAAAAUAUUACAUCAUUGCCCUGUACUCAGUGUUCUAUUUAUACCAUGCCAGAAUUUUAAGUACAUUUUGCUUUUUUUAGAUGCUGUAAACAGUAUUGGGGGGUUGUCUUAAAGUAAAGUUACUGCUAGGCCAUAGAAGGAGCAUUACUGAAUCAAAUAUUUACAGAGAGUCCAGGAGCUAGAGGACAUGCUGUCUGCUAAUUUAAGCUUCCAGAAAGAAUGGAUCUGUGCCAUUUUAAACUCUGCUAUAUUCUUAUCCUUCCAGUUUGUUUUAUUUAUGUAUGUUUCUCCCUCUCCUGGUUUUCAUUAGAGCAGUAAAUAAAGGUGGAGCAUAGCUGUGAGCAUGUCUGGCAAAUCUUGGUGAGAACACCUCCAACCUAACUCUAACCUAAACUUAUUCUUUUUGGUUGUGGUGAUUUCUUAUGGUCCAUUCACAGCUUUGAAUUUCAAGCAUAUUCCUUGCAUAAUUUUAUGUUAGGAAUAAUAUUCCUCAUUGGGAAUAGAUACCCCCCAUGGUAAUUGUGCAGUUACCACUGUCCAUUGCUGCUGUAUUUUCUCUGGCUACGUAUCUUGCAUUUCCAUUGUUUGAAGUGUGCUUUUUUCUGUCAGCUUCUAUUUUCACCAGCUCAAAUCAGCCUCUGUGGUUUCAUACUAAGGCUUCUAUAUCGGAAAUUUUUCUUGCAGUCAAUUCUACUUAUUUUUUGGCAGAUGUUUCUUUCAUGACACUUAAACACUGAUAAAGGUAGUGAAUUUUCCUUCAGGUUUAGCAAAGCAGGGUGACAAUUAUAUUGUAUAAUUAUAAGGUAGUUUCUUCUGAUAUCCUACACAGAGCUGUAAUAUGCUUUACUGCAAAACACUAAGAAAAGUGUUCUUUUUGUGCUUUUCUGUAUGUGUAUUCUUAAAACUUUCUGUAGUAUUGCUCUGGAGGCA